rnacentral:rRNA from 1 species
AGUAACACGUGAACAACCUGCCCUUGACUUCGGAAUACCAGCUGGAAACAGCUGCUGAUACCGGAUAUGACCUCGGCCCGCAUGGGUUGGGGUGGAAAGCUCCGGCGGUCAGGGAUGGGCUCGCGGCCUAUCAGCUUGUUGGUGAGGUAAUGGCUCACCAAGGCUUCGACGGGUAGCCGGCCUGAGAGGGCGACCGGCCACACUGGGACUGACACACGGUCCAG